rnacentral:miRNA from 1 species
UGCGAGCCUCUGUGUGUGUGUGUGUGUGUGUGUGUGUUGCUCAACCAGCAGGUGGGGAGCACACCCCCAGGC